rnacentral:rRNA from 1 species
CGUCAAAGCUUAUUAUAUCCAAUAAUCCCUUUAACCUAAUUGAACCCCUCAGCAGUACUGAAUGACCCCAUACUAUUAUGGGACCCAUUAUGUUAAAACUAGUAACAAGAAGCUCCUCUUCUCUUAUUAUGUAAACGCAAAUCAGCACAGAAAAUCUACUGAUCACUAACAACUUAAACCAAAGUAACAACCCCCCCACCUAAACCCUUACUUAACUUAUUGUUAACCUGACACAAGAGCAUAUAAAGAAAGAUUACAAGAAAAAGAAGGAACUCGGCAAAUUCUGAUUCCGCCUGUUUACCAAAAACAUCGCCUCCUGAUAACAUAUAGGAGGUCCAGCCUGCCCAGUGACCUAGUUUAACGGCCGCGGUAUCCUAACCGUGCGAAGGUAGCGUAAUCACCUGUUUUUUAAUUGAAGACCUGUAUCAAUGGCACCACGAGAAUCACACUGUCUCCUUUUUCUAAUCAGUGAAACUAAUCUCCCCGUGAAAAAGCGGGGAUAAAAAUACAAGACGAGAAGACCCUUUGGAGCUUAAGACAAGGUAACAAUUUUGUUUUCUUUAUCCACUCUACCUAUUUAACACUUAUUUACUAGUCUUUGGUUGGGGCAACCGCGGAGUAAAAAAUAACCUCCAAGUUGAAUGGAAUCCUCCUAAACUGAAAGCCACAUCUUUAUGUAUCAAUAAUUUGACAUUUAUGACCCAAUAUUUUGAUUAUCGAACCAAGUUACCCUAGGGAUAACAGCGCAAUCUACCUCAAGAGUCCAUAUCGACAGGUAGGCUUACGACCUCG